GAUGAAGAACGUAGCGAAAUGCGAUAAGUAAUGUGAAUUGCAGAAUUCAGUGAAUCAUCGAAUCUUUGAACGCACAUUGCGCCCACCAGUAUUCUGGCGGGCAUGCCUGUUCGAGCGUCAUUUCAACCCUCAGGCCCCCAGUGCCUGGCGUUGGGGAUCGGCCGCUGGCGUCCUUCGGGGCGCCUGGCCGGCCCCGAAAUCUAGUGGCGGUCUCGCUGUAGUCCUCCUCUGCGUAGUAGCACAACCUCGCAGUUGGAACGCGGCGGUGGCCAUGCCGUUAAACACCCCACUUCUGAAAGUUGACCUCGGAUCAGGUAGGAAUACCCGCUGAACUUAAGCAUAUCAAUAAGCGGAGGA
rnacentral:misc_RNA from 1 species